rnacentral:lncRNA from 1 species
CUUGCUGAAAUGAGCUCAUCUAGAUUGAGCUGCGUUAGAUUUUGCGAUGGCGAUUGCUGUGACGAAUUACAACGAUUUUAUAUAUAGGAAACCCAUCAUCUGCCAAGUGUUCAUUAUUCAGAGAAAAAAAAAGGCUCUGUGAAGGUAUUUAAUUGUUGAUAGUAGUGGUUCUCCAAGAAAGUGUCACAUAAUGAUCUUUUGUCGAACAUGCAGGAGCAGUGCGCAUUUAAUGGAAGCAAGUGUUUGAUGGAUGGUCGUAAUACUAAUUAUCAAUUUGCUUGGACUUAAUUUGAUGAAUAUACUUCAGAUUUAAGACAUGUAGAGACAUAUAUUUAUAAGAAAAAAAUGGUAUAAUAUAAGAGGGAAGAGAGGCACAUAUUCUCUGACUUUCUAAGUAUUUCUCGGUAUGU